GCACGCUAAGCAUAAUCAAUUUGUGUGCACCCAAUCGAUUAAUUUCGUUGAAUAUUAGGUGCCAGGUGCUGGUGCUAGCUUAGCGUCGACAUGCGAACUGCCCUCCUACUCUAUGUUUUGGCCCUCUGGCAAGGGUGGGUCAAAGGCAACCCCUUCGAUCCUAAGAACGACAUGGACAAACACGACAAUAACCUAAGGCACAGCAAAUUAUCAUUUGUCAAAUAUACAGAUAGCAGCCGUAAAAAGGAAUUACAAAAUAAAGAAAAGCAGCUUAUAGACUUUUAUACACAUGCCUUACAUCAAGCACAUAUAAAGUCACAACCAAAAAAGACAAAGACAAAAUUAGGUUUCAAUUUAGCUGGAUUCGCAAGAGGAAUUCAAUUCGUAGCUGACUUGGUCAGUAUUGUAUCGUCGGACUUUUGGAAGUGGAUACGUACUGUCAGAUAAGGAGUAUAAUCAGGUGACAUGGUAACGAGCUUCUUUAAAAAUAGUAUAUGUAAUAUUGUCUUCGGUUAACGCGAUAGUUACUCAUGAAAUAAAACUUUUGAAAUCGAA